UACGGAGGGUGCAAGCGUUAUCCGGAUUCACUGGGUUUAAAGGGUGCGUAGGCGGCGCGGUAAGUCGGGUGUGAAAUCUCGGGGCUUAACUCCGAAACUGCAUUCGAUACUACCGUGCUUGAGGACUGGAGAGGAGACUGGAAUUUACGGUGUAGCGGUGAAAUGCGUAGAUAUCGUAAGGAAGACCAGUGGCGAAGGCGGGUCUCUGGACAGUUCCUGACGCUGAGGCACGAAGGCCAGGGGAGCAAACGGG
rnacentral:rRNA from 1 species